rnacentral:lncRNA from 1 species
UCAACAUUAUAAUAUAAAAUACCACAUAAUACUUGUGCAUCGCACGGGUGUGAGACUAGUUUUAUAAGCAAAAUUGAUAUUUUAGGUUCAUUGUAUAUAUUUAGACUCUAUUUUACAAAAAUAGCGGAUGACUAAUAAGCUAAUUAAAGUGUUUGGUAAAAUUAGUGGUUCAACUAGCCGUUAAAUGUAAAAUGACAUUCUUAUUUAAUAAUAAAAAUUAUAAUUUAAAUAGUAAUUUUUUUAUUAAGGGGAAAAUAAAAAGACAACAAGACAAACUAACGAGAACGUUGUCUCAACCAAUCAGCACAUUCAUUCCGUUCUCUAAGAGUAUGAGAGAAACAUAAAGACCAAUUAGCGUCCGGAGGAUACGAAUCUGAUCAAGAACAAUUGUGUGAGGGUGAAAAUUAUUGUCAUCUUCAAGGAUGAGUUCAAUAUCUGAAAUUAUGGUGUAAGAUUAAUAUAGUUUUUUGGGAUGAAUUUUGACUUAGGUGAUUAACUAUGAAUUGUGAUUUAGUUAGUUCUUUUGAUGGUUUAUGGUUUAGUUCACUUAUAUAAUGUUGACUUAUAUAAUGAAUGAAUGGAUUAUGGUUUAAAUUGUGGUUAAG